CAGAGGGUGCAAGCGUUAAUCGGAAUUACUGGGCGUAAAGCGCGCGUAGGUGGUUGUUAAGUUGGAUGUGAAAUCCCCGGGCUCAACCUGGGAACUGCAUUCAAACUAGACUGACUAGAGUAUGGUAGAGGGUGGUGGAAUUUCCUGUGUAGCGGUGAAAUGCGUAGAUAUAGGAAGGAACACCAGUGGCGAAGGCGACCACCUGGACUAAUACUGACACUGAGGUGCGAAAGCGUGGGGAGCAAACAGGAUU
rnacentral:rRNA from 1 species